rnacentral:rRNA from 1 species
GCAAAAGAGUGGGAAGAUCUUUGAGUAGAGGUGACAGACCUACCGAGCUCAGUUAUAGCUGGUUGCCUACAAAAGGAAUAGAAGUUCAGCCUUUUCACUUCUUCUCUCAAAACUGCACAUACUAAUAAGUGACACAAAGAAGUUAAAAGAGUUAUUCAAGGGGGGAACAGCCCCCUUGAAAAAAGAUACAACUUUAUUUAGAAGGCUAAAGAUUAAAAUAACCCAGGCAAAUAUACCUUGGUGGGCCUAAAAGCAGCCAUCCAUAUAGAAAGCGUUAAAGCUCAAGUACUUUGCCCCUCCCUAAUUUCAAUAAUUCAAUCUUAAGCCCCUUAAUUAAUAGUAGGCCUUUUCAUGCACCCAUGAAAGAGAUACUGCUGAGAUGAGUAAUAAGAGGACCGCUCCUCUCCCUAACACUUGUAUAAUUCAGAACGAACCCCCACUGAAAAUUAACGCCCCCAACUAGAAGAGGGGCCUGGGAAAGCCCAAAAUAAACUAGAAGCUCACCCAACAAAUAGCGUUAACCCUACACAGGUGUGUUUUAAGGAAAGACUAAAAGAAAAAGAAGGAACUCGGCAAACACUGGCCUCGCCUGUUUACCAAAAACAUCGCCUCUUGCAACAAACGUAUAAGAGGUCCCGCCUGCCCUGUGACUUACUAGUUUAACGGCCGCGGUAUUUUGACCGUGCGAAGGUAGCGUAAUCACUUGUCUUUUAAAUGGAGACCUGUAUGAAUGGCACAACGAGGGCUAAGCUGUCUCCUUUUUCCAGUCAAUGAAAUUGAUUUUCCCGUGCAGAAGCGGGAAUAUAACCAUAAGACGAGAAGACCCUAUGGAGCUUAAGACACAAGGCAGCCCAUGUAAAACACCUGGCUCAACAGAAUUAACCAAGUGGCCCCUGCCCUUUUGUCUUUGGUUGGGGCGACCGCGGGGGAACAAAAAUCCCCCACGUGGAAUGGGGCCAACCCCCCUAAAGCCAGAGCCACAGCUCUAGCUAGCAGAACAUCUGACCUACAAGAUCCGGCAAAGCCGAUCAACGGACCGAGUUACCCUAGGGAUAACAGCGCAAUCCCCUUUUAGAGCCCAUAUCGACAAGGGGGUUUACGACCUCGAUGUUGGAUCAGGACAUCCUAAUGGUGCAGCCGCUA